GGAAUAUUGGUCAAUGGACGCAAGUCUGAACCAGCCAUGCCGCGUGGAGGAUUAAGGCUCUCUGUGUUGUAAACUCCUUUUAUCUGGGAAGAAAUGUACUUUUUCUUGAGUACUUGACGGUACGAGAGGAAUAAGCACCGGCUAACUUCGUUCCAGCAGCCGAGGUAAUCCGGAGGGUGCAAGCCUUAUCCGGAUUCACUGGGUUUAGAGGAUGCGUAGGUGGGUAGGUAAGUCAGGGGUGAAAUCACCGGGCUUAACCCGGAAACUGCCGUUGAUACUAUGUGUCUUGAAUAUAGGGGAGGUAAGCGGAAUAUGGCAUGUAGCGGUGAAAUGCUUAGAUAUGACAUAGAACACCAAUUGCGAAGGCAGCUUACUACACAAUCAUUGACGCUGAGGCACGAAAGCGUGGGGAUCAAACA
rnacentral:rRNA from 1 species